UACGGAGGAUGCAAGCGUUAUCCGGAAUGAUUGGGCGUAAAGGGUCCGCAGGUGGCAGUGUAAGUCUGCUGUCAAAGAAUGAGGCUUAACCUCAUCAAGGCAGUGGAAACUACACAGCUAGAGUACGGUCGGGGUAGAAGGAAUUCCUGGUGUAGCGGUGAAAUGCGUAGAGAUCAGGAAGAACACCGGUAGCGAAAGCGUUCUGCUAGACCUGUACUGACACUGAGGGACGAAAGCUAGGGGAGCGAAUGGG
rnacentral:rRNA from 1 species